CGGUCGGGGAGCCGCGCGUUGGGGCGUGUGGGACCUUGGAGCACGGGAGGGCUGCGAGCCUACUCAGGCUGCUUUUCUUCUUCCAUCACCUUCUCCUUUCGCUGUGCACGGGCCACACGGUGGAACUGCAGCGGUGAAAACGGCUGAAGUCGGGGCGCUGUAACCUCCUGGCGACCCUGAGGAGCAGCAGCGGAAACACAAGUAAGAAUGGAGAGUGCUCUUCUCCCCGGAAGCUAACAAAAGGUCAAGUCUUUCUCUGUGAAAUGGCUGUAGAAUGUAAACUGAGGCUCCUGGCAUUUCCCUACUGGCAGAGUUCAAGAACCACCCACUCCGAGUUGUCUUCCUGGAUUUUCUCAGCCCAAAGUAAUCCUUCUUUUUCUGAGAUACAAAAGAGGUUCAACAGUGAGUAUUGUAGAUGCUGAGCUUCAUCUGUGAACAAAAUCUACUGAGUCUCUGACCUCAUGGAACUCAUGAGGUGGAAUCAGGAUCCCUGAAGACUUCCUUAUGGAUUUUGUCUCUGGGAACACGGCUCAGCAGCAUGGACACAGAAACAGCAGUGGUGGCUGGUUGCAUUGAUCCAGAUUUGGAAGUUGUGUGGCAGUUAAAGCAGAAGGAUAAGGUACCUCUUCUUUUGUGAUGCUGGAGAAGACUCUUGAGAGUCCCUUGGACUGCAAGGAGAUCAAAUCAGUCAAUCCUAAAGGAAAUCAACCCUGAAUAUACAUUGGAAGGACUGAUGCUGAAGCUGAAACUCCAAUACUUUGGCCGCCUGAUGUGAAGAGCCGACUCACUGGAAAAGACCCUGAUGCUGGGAAAAAUUGAAGGCAGGGGGAUAAGCGGACGACAGAGGAUGAGGUGGUUGGAUGGCAUCACCAACUCAAUGGGCAUGAACUUGGACAAACUCCGGGAGACAGUGGAGGAUAGAGGAGCCUGGCAUGCUGGGAUCCAUGAGGUCUCAAAGAAUCAGACAUGACUUAGCGAUUGAACAACAGCAAUCUCUUCUUCCUCCACUUCCUCAGCCUCACCCUGAGUGAUCUCAUCCACUCUUUUUUCAGUUUAAGAUGUUUUUAUUCAAUGCAUAUAGUUUUUUUUUAAAAAAAAAAAAGCAUACCAAAGGCUUAUACAAAAGGAUUAUACACAGUGAUAAGCGGAAGACCCUAUGCCCACCCCUUUCAUGCUUCCCAAAAGCAGUCUCUCUUUGAAGUAUUCCUUAUGGUGUUUACCUCAGUCAUUGAAAAGAAUAUAAUUAUCCCACUAUUCCUUUAUUUUUAUUCCAGUAAAAUAUACAUUGCACAGAUUUACCAUUUCAACUAAUUUAUGUGUACAGUGGCAUUAAGUACAAUUGCAUUGUGGUACAGUCAUCACCACGAGCCAUCUACAGAAGUUUUUCAUUCUCUCAAACUGAAAUUCUGUAUCCAGUAAACAAUAACUUCUCAUUCCCUUCCUGCCCAGCCCCUGGUAAUGACUCUUCUAGGUCGUGUCACUAUACAUUUUAUUCUAGGUACAUCAUAUAAAUGGAAUCAUACAAUAUUUGUCCUCUGUUGUCACACUUAUUUCACUUAGCAAAUGUCUUCCAGGGUUGUCUAUGUUGUAAUAUAUAUCAGAAUUUCAUUCCUUUUUAAAGGUUGAAACAUAUUCUGUUUUAUACACAUACAACAUCAUAUUUUAUUUAUCUUUUCAUUCAUUGAUGGACAUUUGAUCUAUUUCCAUCUUUGGCUAUUAUGAAUGUGCUGCUGUGAACUCAAGUGUAUAAUAUCUGUUUGAGCCUCUGCUGUCAUUUCUUUGGGAUAUAUAUAUCCAGAAAUGGAAUUAUUGAAUUGUAUGGUAAUUCAGUGUUUGCUUUUCUGAGGAGCACUGUGUUGUUUUCCACAUUCUACUAUUUCAUAAAACACUUUUUAAACAUCA